CCUACGGGGUGCAGCAGUGGGGAAUAUUGGGCAAUGGGCGCAAGCCUGACCCAGCAACGCCGCGUGAAGGAAGAAGGCUUUCGGGUUGUACACUUCUUUUAAGAGGGAAGAGCAGAAGACGGUAACUCUUGAAUAAGCCACGGCUAAAUACGUGCCAGCAGCCGCGGUAAUCCGUAGGUGGCAAGCGUUGUCCGGGUUUACUGGGUGUAAAGGGAGUGUAGCCGGGCUGACAAGUCAGAUGUGAAAUUCCGGGGCUCAACCCCGGACCUGCAUUUGAAACUGUUGGUCUUGAGUAUCGGAGAGGCAGGCGGAAUUCCUAGUGUAGCGGUGAAAUGCGUAGAUAUUAGGAGGAACACCAGUGGCGAAGGCGGCCUGCUGGACGACAACUGACGGUGAGGCGCGAAAGCGUGGGGAGCAAACAGGAUUAGAUACCCUUGUAGUC
rnacentral:rRNA from 1 species